UAGCUCCUGAUAUUUUGAAGAUGUGAUUUUGUUUUUUUUUCUUCUUAGAAUGACAUUGUAGGGUGUGUGACUGGUCAGUUUGAACAUAAAACAGGCACGGCUGUGUGAGAAGAUGGAACCAGUGGCCAGGAAGCUAGGAGUGUUUGACACCAGAAUACAUUUGAGGACAAAAUCAUAAAUUUAAAUGUCACAUUGACCAUUUAGUCUUACUGCUGCAGCGUAGUUGAAGAAAAUUCAGUUAUCUUCGAAGAGUUCAUUGAAGCACGAGAGAA